UUUUCUCUCAUGAUUAUUUGAUGGACGCUCUUCAUUGGUUGGUUAAUGCUCACGUUACCAUCUGCUCCUUGUUUAUCAUGAUUUUCUUAUUGGAAACAAACACACAUAUAUAUAUAUAUAUAUAUAUUAUUAACUUGAGUCCUCCUUUUUAUUAUGAAGAAGUAUGUUAUUAUUGUAUACUAAAACUGUUGGAUAAAAAUUACCUUUACUAUUUUAUUGAAUUGUAUUUAAAUAAUUAGUGUAUUUUAAUAAUUUUACUUAUUUUUCGCUCCUCUCACCCACAAACAUUUUCAAUCUAACUCUACUCUUCUUAAACAUAAUUAGAGGUCAAGGACCAUAUUUUUUCUGGAACUUCAUUAUAUCCUUAAGCACCAACCAAAAUUCAUUUUUGUUCACCCCUAAUCCAUCUUCACUUGGUUAUCUCUGUCAUAACCUGUGAACUUCAUUAUCUCCCAAUCAUAAUCCAUCACCGUUCUCACCAUUAUAACCGACAAAGUUUCGUUGCUCUCACCCUUUUUGAAAACCUCAAAAAUAUGGCUCAUUUGUAUGCUUUAAUGAAAUCAUAAUUUCAUAAUCCCAAACUCUCAAUCUAAUUUUAUUGUGUUUUUUCGAUCAAAAUUUCAGAAUAUAAUGACAUAAGAAGAAAGUGACGGUUGGCCUAUACAACUUCUUAAAAAUUCUGAUUGGAUAAAUGGAGAUGAUGAAAUUCAAGAUCUACAAAAUGACCAAGCUGAAAACAACAAUAAAUCAAGUCAUUUUAAAUGGCAAAUUUUCAAUUAUGAUGAAAUUGCUUACAAUUUUUACUCUUUAUUUGUAAAGAUUGUGGGUUUUUGAUUAGACGAGGUCAUGUAAAUGCAAGCACGUAUCAAUGAGAAGAUUAUAUAUGCAAGCAUACAUCACAUAAAUUUUGAUGAAGACAAAGGUUGAUAAAAAUAAAGAUUGAAGACAAAGUUUGAGAAAGACAAAGAUCGACAACAAAGAUUGAUGAAGACAAAUGUUGUAUAUCAAGGAUAAGCUCUAAGACAUAAACAAAUCAACAAACAACAAAGUCAACAAACAAAGUCAAAAGUCAAGACUCAAGUUCACACAAGCUAAAGCAUUCAAGAAGAUCUAGAGGCUAAAUGUUUUUAUAUUUUUAUUAGGUCUUAAGAUGUUUGCUUAGAAAGAGUCUAGGCUAGGAUGAGUCCUAAUGGAAGUCUCACAAGCUAAAAUCAAUCAUAAUUAAAAAAGACUUACAUGUAUACAUACAUGAUUUACAUGCACAUGCAUAAAUAUAUGAUCACAUGAUUUUGAUGCAUUUAAAAAGAGUUUUAUAUCAUACAUCAUUCAAAGUCAUGUGUCAUACUUUUACAAAUCAUGUAGGAGGUUCAUAUGACAUUGAAAUAUCUUUUUUCGAAAAUGUGUUAAUCGAUUAAGAGUUAUUUUAAUCGAUUAAGCAAUGAAAAAUUAGGAACCCGCUAAUCAUAUGAGUAUGAGUUUAAUCGAUUAAGGGUAGUUACAAUUUCCGGUUUCAUGAAUUUAAAAGAAUCAAUGAUCGAUUAGAUUAUGUGAUAAUCGAUUACCUGCAGCAAAAAAUAUAAUUGUAUAUUAACCCAAGUUUUUCCAUUUUGCAAAAAUAACUCACACAACGAAAAACACAUUGAUUACACAUAUUUCCAAAAAUCAAAUUGUUCUUACACUUUCAUAUUCAAAGAGAGAUUUUCAAAGUGUUUUUGAAAAAGAGAGAAAAAGGAAGAAGCAUAAUUGUCAAAUCUUGCAAAGAAACCUUGCAUCUCACAUUUCUAUAUUAUGAGUUUGUGAGAUUUGUAGAAGGGUUCUUAGAUUAUAGAAUAGUGUAUAUUCAACACAUAUAGGUGCAUCAACAACUUGUAAAGUUUUAGACAUUGGCAUAAACAUAUUCUAUUGGUGCGUUUAGUAUCACCAUUGAUAUAUGAUUGGUUUGGGAAAUCUUAGAUGCGGUUAGGUAGUUGUCCUUACUGCUUUAUUCAAGGGUCUUGAAGAUAAGUAAGAAUGGGCUAGGAUGAAUCAUAAGUAGGUGGGGUGUCCGAAAGAGGCGAGAGAGGUUAAGUCGCAUUGCUUGGCUUAAAGUUCAAGAAAGGAGCGCUUGUAAAAGUGUAGAAUUGGAAAGUGUGUUUGUAUAUACAUUGGUUUCAAUUUCCUAGUGAAGAAAAAUCUCCCAAUAUCAUAAUAAGAGGCUUGAAUGUAGUUUACAUGUGGACAUAUAAACAAACCAUGAUAAAAGUCGUGUCUCAUUCUUCUUAACCCUUAACUCUUUAGUUAGUUAUUUAUUUGCAGAACGAGUUAAUCAUAUAUGUGGUUAAUUGAUUAAACAGUAAGGAAAUUUAUAAAAUUUGUUUGUUAAUUAAGCAACGAUAAUUGUGUACCGUAUCACCUAUUUACCCUCUCUAGGUGAGAUACAGAGCCUUGUGGGACCCAAAAAGUGGUAUCAGAGGUAAUAUGAUCAUACUAGCUUAACCGCUUAGAUCGUUGAUCCUAGGAAAUAUUACCCAGGCUCUGCAAACCCUUUUGGAGGCGAAGACACAUCCAUCAACCACCCUCUAGUGUCCAGCUUGAUUUGAAAGCAACAAAUAUUAUUAUCUCUGCACUUUCAUACGAUGAGUUCAUUAGGAUUUCUCAAUGCAAUAGUUCCAAGGAUAUAUAAGACGCUUUGCAUGUAACCCACGAAAGCACUAGUAAGGUCAAACAGUCUAGAUUAAAUACUUUAAUACAUGAGUAUGAGUUAUUUCACAUGUUUCCACAUGAAUCUAUUUUUUAUAUGCAAAAGUGAUUACUCACAUUAUUAACCAUGUCAUUGCAUUAGAUAAAUCAUUUGCCAAACAUGAACUAACGAAUAAAGUAUUGAGAUGUCUUGAUAAGAAAUGACAACCCAAGGUGAUGACCAUCAUGGAGUCAAAGGACUUGGACCAAAUGACACUCGCUACACUUGGCAAACAUCAAGAAGAACAUGAGAUAGAGUUAAGAUGCUUGACACUCAAUGAAAAAAUGGACGAGAACAUCAAAGGAAUCUCUUUCAAAGCAACAAAAUCACAUUCAAGAAGUCAAAAAGAGAAAGUUGACGAUGACGAGUUUGAUUCCGUCAUAAAUGAUGAAACCACGUUCCUCCUCAUCAACAAAUUCAUAAAGUACUUAAGAAAUAAUGAAAAAGUCAAAAAGUUUCGUAAGGAUGAUGAAAAAGAUUCAAUCAAGAUGAGAAAGUAUCCCAAAGACAAAGCAACUUGCCAUAAGUGUGGGAAAGUAGGUCACAUGAGGUACACAUGUCCUACUUCUCUCAAGAAGAUUGAGCAUGACAACAAGAAAGACUUUCGGGACAUCAAAGCUAAGAAGACAUACAUCGGUUGGGAUGCACCCGAAGAGGACACUACAUCAACAAACAACUCUGAAGAUGAAGAAUCAAAGAAGAUAUGUCUUAUAGCUCAAAAGCUGAAUUCUUGCAAAGUAAGUGAGCAAGAUGAGUCUAGUGAGAUAAACCCUUUCGAUUCUAGUUCAAACUUCGAUAAUUCCGCCACACAUGAUAUGUUUUAUGAUGUUUAUGUUGAAAUGCAUGAAGAAAAUAAAAAGUUAGCUAAAAAGUAUGCAUAUGGAAAAAGGUUGAUUUUAGAACAUGAAGAAAGAAUUUGUGAAUUGCAAAGUUUUAUUGAUGAGCUUAAAUUUGAAAAUGAAACCUUAGAUCUUAAAUAUGUUAAAUCUUCAUGUGAUUAUACUACUAAGUUAAAUGUGAUAUGUACUUUUGAAAAUUGCACCUUCUUGGAAAAAGAAAAUAAUAUCUUAAAGGAUAAAGUUGCUAAAUUCACAACUAGAAAUCACAAAUUAAACAACUUACUUGCUACAUUUAAAAAUGUUGAGAUUAGAUCCAAUUUGGGAUAUACAUACAAAGAAUAUAUUUCACAAGAAACAAGUAGAUGUUUUGAAAAUGUCGUAUCUUUUUAAUCCUCUACUUGCUUUUAUUGUGGAAUGCAUGGUCAUAAUUUGAGUACAUGUAAUAUUAGAAUACAUUAUGUUCUUAAUGGAAAAUAUAUGUGGAUCGUUAAGAGAUAAGAUCCCCAAGUAACUAGUAUCAAGGGACACAAGAUCAUCUAGGUACCCAAGACAUGCUCUAUUCCUUAUCAAGGAUAUCCUUUAUUCCAUAUUGUUUGAAACUAAAUAAUGUAAAUUACCUUAUUAUAAUAUAUAUUUAAAAAUAUAAAUCAAAAUUAAUCGGAAAUAUCUUUAUUAAUCAAUGAUCAAUUUAUGUUUAAUUUCAUUGGUUUGACAAUGUCACUAAAGAGCUUAUAAAUUAGUGAGCAAGCUUAUUUAACUAAAAAUAAAUCAUUAACCCAUUUUGCUUAGAGACUAUUUUUAUAAAAACAUUGACUUAUAAGUUGUUAUAUAAGAAGUCAGUUAAUUAAAUGAGAUUAAUUAUAAAUAUUUUUAUAUCAUUUAACACUAAUUAGUGGGUCAAUCAAAUUUGCUUAGAGAUCAUUUUAAAAAUAAAACCUUGACUUAUGUCUUAUAGAUAAUAAGAUUAAUUGUGAUGGUGGCAUAAAUUUUUGUAUGUUUAAAAUAAUAUUUUUAAAUUUGAUAUGGUCUAAUACGACCUAAUGUAAUCUAAUACAGUUCGAAGUGUCUCAAAUAUGACCAAUAUAUUUGUGUUGCAAUCCAACAAAACCACAUCAUAAUAAUUUGAUGUCAUACUACAAAUAUGUUAUAAUACACUUCCAAUGAUGUUCAUAAAAUGCAAUCGAUUAUAUAUAUGAGUGGAAGGUGACAGAUAUGUUUGUGUGAGCCUCUUAUGGAAUAAAUGGACAUCAAUUUCACAAGGAAGAUUAUAUAUAUGAUAAGGUUAUAUAUAUAGCAACUAGAGAUAUAAUUUUGAGAGGGACACUUAAUGAUUAGAGAAAGACUUGUAUGGAACAUAUACAACAUGUUAUAUUUAGAGAUACAUAUAUUUAUAUUUUUUGUUGUUAUCAUUUAGGAUUAAAUUUUAAUUAUAAUUAAAUUUUAAUGUAUUGUCAAGAUUUUAUUGAUUAUCUUUAUAUAUAUAUAUAUACAUCUUCACACAUAUAUUUUUCUCUCAUAAUUAUUUGAUGAACUCUCUUCAUUGGUUGGUUAACGCCCACGUCACCAUUUACCCCAUGUUUAUCAUGGUUUGCUUAUUAAAAACAAACAUACAUAUAUAUUAUAGUAACAGGGGUCCUCCUUUUUAUUAAGAAGAAGUAUGUUAUUUCUGUGUAUUAAAACUGUUGAACAAAAAUUACAUUUACUAUUUUAUUGAAUUGUAUUUAAAUAAUUAGUGCAUUUUAAUAGUUUCACUUAUUUUUCACUCCUCUCACCCACAAACAUUUUCAAUCUAACUCUACUCUUCUUAAACACAAUUACAGGUCAAGGACAACAUUUUUUUUUUCUGGAACUUCAUUAUAUCCUUAAGCACCAACCAAAAUUUAUUUUCGUUCACGCCUAAUCCAUCUUCACUUCGUUAUCUCUAUCAUAAUUUGUGAACUUCAUUAUCUCUCAAUCAUAAUUCAUCGUCGUUCUCACCAUUAUAACCCACGAAGUUUCAUCGUUCUCACCCUUUUUGCAAACCUCAAGAAUCUGGC
rnacentral:lncRNA from 1 species